CUCCUCUUGGCCAUAAUGGCCCCAGGGAGGAGCUGAUGCCCCCGGAGCUGCGGAGCGGGUGCGAGCCUUGCUGCCACACUUUCUGUUGCAGGCUAGGCAGCAUGGCAGACGGGGAGCUGGAAGAGGCUGUCUGCGAUGGCCAGAGCGAGCGACUCAUGAAAUGCAACCAGGACACAGAGAAGCAGCCUGGGCUUGUGGGAUCCUGGGCAAAGGAGCACUGUGACCAUGUACUGGACUCCAUUGACGCCCAGCUCAGCCAGUGGCAGGGCCCUGGUGUGCAAGUCAUGGGCAGCAGCAGAGACCAUGACAUCUCUUCUGACACCUCCCUCGAUGUCUCUUGGCUGGCUGAACUGGAAGAACAACCUGCAGCCAAGGCUGAAUACCUCCAGACUGAAGCCAGUCAGAGCAGCUCCAGCUCUGUGUGCACGGAGGACUUUGCUGCCAGGUUUCAGGAGGGUAUGGUUGAGCCUCUGGUGUUCUCUGAGGAUGAAGAAGACGAGCCUUUCUCAGCGGGCAUCAGGCAUGCCAGGGAUGUCCCAGCAGGAGGCAAUGGCAUCUCUUGCCCUGCUGAGGACCAUGACUCUGGGCAGGAUGAGUCCUUGCUCUCCACAGGGAGAAGACAGGAAGUCCCAUGGCAGUUGGAGGUGGAGCUGGGCUGUCCGUUGCAGAGCACAUCUCCAUCUCUGAUGAGGAGACAGAGCCUGGAGUCUCUGGGAGGGAGGAUAUCCAGACUGAGCCAGAGCAAUGCUGUGACUGCAGGGAUGGAGCCGGCCAGCUUCCCAGGGUGGUGGGCUCCCAUGCCAGCCCCCUCUGAGCAGGGAUGGACUCUGCAUGGAGCUGAUGUGAGAGGGUGUUUGACAAGGAGACGUGCAGGAGUCCCUGUGCCUCGAGCCUCAGUCUCUGCAGACAGCAGUUUGCCAGGGGAUGGUGAUGCUGGGACCAGAUGGCAUCGCGUGAGCAGGCCUGUGAGGUCAAGACAGCAGGAGACACCAGCUCUCCGGAGACGGUCUGGAAGGGACGUUGUCCUUGCUGUGGCUGAUGUGGACAUGGAAGGAGCUGGUGACAGGCUGAGGAGAGCUCAGUCCUGGGCACAUUGUACCAAUACAGCAGCAAGACCCCCCAGGGUGUGCAGCCUCGACUCCUCAGGGGAUCGGGGCUCCAUGGACACCUACAAAGAGUCAUCAUCCUGUGGGGGCAGCUGUUGGAGGAGCAGCAGUGCGGAGAGGUGGACCUGGAGCCCAGGCAAAGCGGCCAAGCCCUGGUGGGAACAUGCAAGGCUGGAAGCCAGCCUAGACCACAAGCGUGCAGGCAGGGAGCCAGCAUCACUGUCUUGGUCUCUGCAGAGGAACUGGAAGGGAGUUCAAGAGCUGGGGUCCUUUGCAAAGAAGAUACAGAGCAAAGGAGACAGAGCCAGGACUGGCCCAGCACUCCUGGAGCACACGCAUGACGCCUGCUGGCAGGAGCUGAUGGAGCUGGAGAAGGAGGUCCAGAGUCGGCUCCUGGAAGACAGAAAGACUUGGGGGGCAGAAAAGAAGGGAAUUAUUCAGUCUCAGCAAGGGCUCCUGGGGGAGCAGAGCCAGGGAGCCUGUGCUGACUGCCAGGAGGGGCUGGAGAAGGAGCUAAGGAAAACGUCAGCUUUGCAGGAAGAGAAACUGGAGUUACAGAAGAGACUCCACGAGCUGGAGCAUCGGACCCGCUCCCUCCUGCAGUGGAGGCAGGAAGCCCUGGAUGAGCUGCAUGUGCUGCUGCAGAAGGAGAAGAUGGACAUGCUGCGGCAGCUCCAGGAAGCUCUGGAGCAGGAACGGGCCCGCAACAGCACCUGGCUGCAAGCGCAUCUGCAGCGGCUGGAGCAGCAGCACCUUCUGUGGGCCCCACAUAAGGAAACUUCCCUGCAGGAGCCAGCGGUGCCAGGCCAGGCUGGGCGCUCCCUGGCAAGGCAUAUCAGCUUGGCAUGCCAGCGCCUCCGUGACUUGCUUCCUGACAACUCCAUGGGGCAGAGCCCUUCGCCAGCAGUGUUUGGCCACGCACUCCGAGUCCUGCAUGGCCUCAGUGAGGAAAUACAGCGUCACCUCAGAGACCUUCAGAGGGAGAGGGAGGCCCAGAGGUGCUCUGUCCUCCACCUUUGGAGAGAGAAGGAGCAUGAGCUGAGGCAGCAGCGAGAGUGGAUUCACAUGGAGAAGGAGGCAGGUCCGAGAGCCCUGAAGGAACAGCUGAUUCAGAGACAAAGCAAAUAUCCAUACUUCUGCUCCACCUCUUCCCUGUCCUCAAGCACCAUGCCCUGCCUCCGGCAGCAAAACUUCAGGCGCUUCAGAGUCCUCCACCAAAUCCAAAACUGCAUGCAAGAGCUACAGGCAGAGAACACCACCCGCCGCACGGGCAACCUGGAGAACCUGACUGUCCUGACAGGAGAGCUGGGCACGCAGCAAGAGAAAAGAGGCUCCUGAUGCCAGAUUUCAUCGUUCCCCCAUGCACUGGUGUGAGCAGCAGGAACUAAAGUGAUGGCAAGAAGAAUUUUCUCCUGUGGCCAGGACUUUGGCUGGGGCAUGGAGACAGUGAGACUGUGAGCCAUCCCUGACAGCUCGAUCUCCCUGUGCAUGGCCAGAAGAACCAUUUGUGCAGCUGCUGGACCCUCCCUUUGCAGGAUAUUUUCCACUUAUCCCCAAGUGAAAACUUUCCUUCAGCCACUCCUGGCUGGGCUCACUCCUUUCCAGCCAGAGCCAGUGGCUGGGGGACAAGCAGUGCAUGUGCCAGGAGUGAUGGUUAAGGCUUGGUGUCUGCACUGGGCUGCUCUCCGGGUCCAGCGAGGUGAAUGCUGGAGCUCUACCAAAACUUUUGCUGCUCUUUCCUCACAUUCAGUCAGGUACUUGGUAGAGGGGGAGAGGAAGAGAGGAGGUGGAGAGGCCCAUGUCACAGGGGGGAUGCAGAGUGGCAUUGGGGCUUAUGCUUUUGGACUGGGAAGGGAUAUAGGCAAGAACAUCUGGUAUAUGGGAGAGUUUGUACUGGAAGAAGUCUUGCAGCUUCCCAUGUCAAGGUGGAGACUGGAGCCAAGCACAUUGAAAAUGCCUUGGAAUUAGGAGUCUGGCUUCAAGUCAGUCAGAAAUUCCUGAACCCAGGAAACUAAGCUCUGUUAAGGCUGACAAGCUUGUACUGUGGAGGUCAGUUUUGGUCUCCAAAUUCCAAACAGGUCAGCAUUUCAGGUGUAAGAAUGACUUUAGUUGAUACCUAACUGGUUGGCAUGAAGUAGGGCCACUUGGCAGAAGAUAAGGGAGCUCAGGAGAUUUUUCCUGCAGAGAAUGCCUGGAAGAGCACCAGCAAUGGUGAUCAGGAAUGUUGGAGCUCAGGGGUCUCACUGCAGCUCCCUCGCUCUGGGGGGAUUUGUUUUGGGUGUCUCCAGCGGGGCUGCACUUUCUGUGAUGCAGAGUGUGGUCCUGUGAGUAGCUGGGUGCUCUUAAGAGCUCAGUAUUACAAGUAAGGGGAAAUCUUUCUCUGGAUCCCCCCUGCUGCCCAGGGCAGUUCUGCCUCUGCUCAUUCUCACUAGCUCCAACGAAGAUUAUCCCCUCUGUAUUGCUUGGCUGGUUUUCCAUGGAGUUAACCAUGAAUCAUCUCACAGUGGUUCCAACAAGCAUCAGACCUGGACCAAAGUGAGCAGGAAGAGCACAUGAUUAAGGACAGGGAGAUGAAGGGGUAGCUGAACCUCUCUUUUUGACAGCAGCUAGUUGUUAGACUCUCUGCUUUUAGUAUUAAAUACAAGGUGCCAUUGCCAGCAUGCCAUUCGAGGGGAAAAUAUCCUGCCUGAAGCAAACCUUUAUUUCUACCUUAUUUCCUUUAUUUCUACUUUAUUUCAUUCGAUACAAGUGUGUAUGCUGAGGGGCACAGUGGGUGCUGUGUUGUCAGCAUCAUCCCAUUUGGAUGUGCUCUAACAGAGCCAGGGUGCUUAGAGCAAAGCUUGCAGGAAUGUGAUUUUGGGAAGGGAGAACAUGUGAGAAAUUUGCCAGAAUAAACUUCUUCUUUACAAUAUCUCCUAGCA
ensembl:lncRNA uncharacterized LOC112971302